UUGACGGGACCCCGCACAAGCGGUGGAUCAUGUUGUUUAAUUCGAUGAUACGCGAAGAACCUUACCAGGUCUUGACAUCCCCCGCGAUGCUUUAGAGAUAAAGCGGAGGUAUUCGGGGAGACAGGUGGUGCAUGGUUGUCGUCAGCUCGUGUCGUGAGAUGUUGGGUUAAGUCCCGCAACGAGCGCAACCCCUAUUGCUAGUUACCAUCAUUAAGUUGGGGACUCUAGCGAGACUGCCAGUGAUAAACUGGAGGAAGGUGGGGAUGACGUCAAAUCAUCAUGCCCCUUAUGACCUGGGCUACAAACGUGAUACAAUGGCUGGAACAAAGGGAUGCGAAGCAGUGAUGUGGAGCGAAACCCAUAAAAACAGUCUCAGUUCGGAUUGAAGUCUGCAACUCGACUUCAUGAAGUCGGAAUCGCUAGUAAUCGCGGAUCAGAACGCCGCGGUGAAUACGUUCUCGGGGUUU
rnacentral:rRNA from 1 species